rnacentral:rRNA from 1 species
CCUACGGGUGACAGCAGUCGAGAAUCAUUCACAAUGGGGGAAACCCUGAUGGGGCGACGCCGCGUGGGGGAAUGAAGGUCUGCGGAUUGUAAACCCCUGUCAUGUGGGAGCAAAUUAAAAAGAUAGGACCACAAGAGGAAGAGACGGCGAACGCUGUGCCAGCAGCCGCGGUAAUACAGAGGUCUCAAGCGGUGUUCGGAAUCACGGGGCGUAAAGCGUGCGUAGGCUGUUUCGUAAGUCGUGUGUGAAAGGCGCGGGCUUAACCCGCGGACGGCACAUGUUACUGCGAGACUAGAGUAAUGGCGUGGGAACCGUAAUUCUCGUUGUAGCCGU